AUGAACGCUAGCUACAGGCUUAACACAUGCAAGUCGAGGGGCAGCAUGGUCUUAGCUUGCUAAGGCUGAUGGCGACCGGCGCACGGGUGAGUAACACGUAUCCAACCUGCCGUCUACUCUUGGACAGCCUUCUGAAAGGAAGAUUAAUACAAGAUGGCAUCAUGAGUCCGCAUGUUCACAUGAUUAAAGGUAUUCCGGUAGACGAUGGGGAUGCGUUCCAUUAGAUAGUAGGCGGGGUAACGGCCCACCUAGUCUUCGAUGGAUAGGGGUUCUGAGAGGAAGGUCCCCCACAUUGGAACUGAGACACGGUCCAAACUCCUACGGGAGGCAGCAGUGAGGAAUAUUGGUCAAUGGGCGAGAGCCUGAACCAGCCAAGUAGCGUGAAGGAUGACUGCCCUAUGGGUUGUAAACUUCUUUUAUAAAGGAAUAAAGUCGGGUAUGGAUACCCGUUUGCAUGUACUUUAUGAAUAAGGAUCGGCUAACUCCGUGCCAGCAGCCGCGGUAAUACGGAGGAUCCGAGCGUUAUCCGGAUUUAUUGGGUUUAAAGGGAGCGUAGAUGGAUGUUUAAGUCAGUUGUGAAAGUUUGCGGCUCAACCGUAAAAUUGCAGUUGAUACUGGAUAUCUUGAGUGCAGUUGAGGCAGGCGGAAUUCGUGGUGUAGCGGUGAAAUGCUUAGAUAUCACGAAGAACUCCGAUUGCGAAGGCAGCCUGCUAAGCUGCAACUGACAUUGAGGCUCGAAAGUGUGGGUAUCAAACAGGAUUAGAUACCCUGGUAGUCCACACGGUAAACGAUGAAUACUCGCUGUUUGCGAUAUACUGCAAGCGGCCAAGCGAAAGCGUUAAGUAUUCCACCUGGGGAGUACGCCGGCAACGGUGAAACUCAAAGGAAUUGACGGGGGCCCGCACAAGCAGUGGAGUAUGUGGUUUAAUUCGAAGCAACGCGAAGAACCUUACCAGGCCUUGACAUCCCUUGCAGAGGUAUAGAGAUAUAUCCGAGGUUAUCAAGGAGACAGGUGGUGCAUGGUUGUCGUCAGCUCGUGCCGUGAGGUGUCGGCUUAAGUGCCAUAACGAGCGCAACCCUUGUUGUCAGUUACUAACAGGUUCCGCUGAGGACUCUGACAAGACUGCCAUCGUAAGAUGCGAGGAAGGUGGGGAUGACGUCAAAUCAGCACGGCCCUUACGUCCGGGGCUACACACGUGUUACAAUGGGGGGUACAGAGGGCCGCUACCACGCGAGUGGAUGCCAAUCCCCAAAACCUCUCUCAGUUCGGACUGGAGUCUGCAACCCGACUCCACGAAGCUGGAUUCGCUAGUAAUCGCGCAUCAGCCACGGCGCGGUGAAUACGUUCCCGGGCCUUGUACACACCGCCCGUCAAGCCAUGGGAGCCGGGGGUACCUGAAGUGCGUAACCGCGAGGAGCGCCCUAGGGUAAAACUGGUGACUGGGGCU
rnacentral:rRNA from 1 species